GACGAACGCUGGCGGCGUGCUUAACACAUGCAAGUCGUACGGUAAGGCCCUUUCGGGGGUACACGAGUGGCGAACGGGUGAGUAACACGUGAGUAACCUGCCCACAACUUUGGGAUAACGCUAGGAAACUGGUGCUAAUACUGGAUAUGUGCUCCUGCUGCAUGGUGGGGGUUGGAAAGCUCCGGCGGUUGUGGAUGGACUCGCGGCCUAUCAGCUUGUUGGUGGGGUAGUGGCCUACCAAGGCGGCGACGGGUAGCCGGCCUGAGAGGGUGACCGGCCACAUUGGGACUGAGAUACGGCCCAGACUCCUACGGGAGGCAGCAGUGGGGAAUAUUGCACAAUGGGCGCAAGCCUGAUGCAGCAACGCCGCGUGCGGGAUGACGGCCUUCGGGUUGUAAACCGCUUUCAGCAGGGACGAAGCUUUUUGUGACGUUACCUGCAGAAGAAGCACCGGCUAACUACGUG
rnacentral:rRNA from 1 species